CCUACGGGAGGCAGCAGUGGGGAAUAUUGCGCAAUGGGCGAAAGCCUGACGCAGCGACGCCGCGUGAGGGAUGAAGGUCUUCGGAUCGUAAACCUCUGUCAGCAGGGAAGAACGGUCACGGUGCUAAUCAGCAGUGAAUUGACGGUACCUGCAAAGGAAGCACCGGCUAACUCCGUGCCAGCAGCCGCGGUAAUACGGAGGGGGCGAGCGUUAAUCGGAAUGACGGGGCGUAAAGCGCUCGUAGGCGGUAUGUCAAGUCAAGGGUGAAAUCCCCGCGCUCAACUUGGGAACUGCCUUUGAAACUGCCAACCUGGCGUGUGUGAGAGGCUAGUGGAAUUCCAGGUGUAGCGGU
rnacentral:rRNA from 1 species